UACGGGGGGGGCAAGCGUUGUUCGGAAUUACUGGGCGUAAAGGGCUCGUAGGCGGCCAACUAAGUCAUACGUGAAAUCCCUCGGCUUAACUGGGGAACUGCGUCUGAUACUGGAUGGCUUGAGUUUGGGAGAGGGAUGCGGAAUUCCAGGUGUAGCGGUGAAAUGCGUAGAUAUCUGGAGGAACACCGGUGGCGAAGGCGGCAUCCUGGACCAACACUGACACUGAGGAGCGAAAGCCAGGGGAGCAAACGGG
rnacentral:rRNA from 1 species